CAGACACUGGUCACUCAGGGUUGUCGCCUGAUCAUCAGGAAGGCUCACCAGGAGGCCGGUGACUGUGAACACGCUGGGGAAGGUUGGACCUGAGUUUGAGUCCCUUGUCCUUCUGAGGGCCUUCAUUUCAGGACUCUGAAGCACCAGCAUUCUUUCCAUCUAGCAUCACUUUGGAACGUGGUUAGUGACGUAACUCAUCAGUGAACAACAUGGGCUCUAAAUUCUGACUUCAUCUUCGCAAACCGGGUGACCUCAAACAAACGAUAUCCUUCCUCUGGAGCUGUUUUCCAAUCUAUAAAAUAAGGAUAAUAUAAGUACGUGGCCAGCAUGAUUGCUGUCCAGUGUUGCCCAAAAAUAUCAAGCAAUCCCCUCCCUGCUCAGCAUGGUGGAGUCAGGGGAGAUGGUGUGAGUGACCUGGUUCAGUCCUGUGAAAGCUGGAUUCCUGAUCAGUGGACCAGGGAGGGCAAGUCUCUCUCACUCUGGAGGAAUUCCAAGUCUUCGGAUUGGGAGGAAGUGAAGAUGAAGGAGCCGUCCUUUGUGUCCAGCAUGCGAAGGCAGAGGAUCUCCAGCCCAGGGAAGGGGCUCCCCUGCACCCACAGGCCUCAGUCACGCUCAGAUGGAGGUCAAGCUGGGUGGAGGCUGCCUGGUGUCUUGGGCAACCUGAGCGGAGGGGGAGAGAAGAGCUCUGCUUUAAGACCCAGGCCCACUCCUGAGGAAGGGACCAUAAGGCCUUGGUUCUUGGCCUCCUGGCAGCUUUGGGAAAGCUCCUCGUGAUGUGUUGAAUCUCACAACCUCUCUAAGCACUCAAGCACUCGCAGCAGCUCUGCCGUCUCCUCUUCUUGUUCAACCAUUUGGCUCUCUCUCCCUUCAGUUCCUGAGCCAGGCCAGUUAAUUACUCCUUCAGCAUUGCGUUGGUCCUCUUCACCUUUCUGUGAGUGUCUGUGAGGCUGGCUAUAUUCAGUGACUCUUUCUCCAGCCUGGCGAUCUCUAAAGAUGAUUGCAUCCCCAGAUACUCCUUUUGAGCAGCGCCAAGCUUGUCAACGAGCUGGCAUUUCUCCUCAAUCCCUGCAGCCACUGCUUCUGCCAGCCGCUGUUCACGUUGUACAUAAAGUUGACUUCUAACAGACUGAACCAGUCUGAAUAUAAAUAAGAUGACCACCAGUAAACUGAGGGCAGGUGGGCACAUCACUGUCUCCCACUGGAGGCUGUGGAAAGUGAGUCGUGGACUCAGGAUAUCGGGCAGCAGCUCCACCACCACCUCGCCCAGCUUGCCAAGGAUCAUCCCCAAGCCAAGCUGCACAGAGGACAGCAGCCCCUCCAUGGCACUGACCCACCACAGGGCUCUGCCCAGUCACCACAGAUCCACCAGCCACAGCACACUCCAGGGAACACCCCGACAUUCCGCCUGGAACCCAACCAGCAACUGACAGUCUGGAAAGGUCAGUUAUAUGGUGGGUGUUGGGGGAGAUUUGUAAAUAAAUGAUGCUCAUCUCCAUUACUGUUUAAUGUUCCUUCUAAAUUCCCUCUUUCUUCUUUGUUUGUAUUUACAUAAAGUUAAAACAUAAUGAAAUGUGUUUACAUUAAGUGUCUGACUUGACGCAUCUUUAAAACCAUAUUCCCCCUACAGCAUUCAAGAACCCUUUCAAUAAAUGAAUCACGUCUGUUAGCAUAGAAAAUACCUCCCUGUACCUUUCCAACCAAUCCCACCCUCUCCCACCAUCCAUAGCCUCUGUGUGCUUUGUGGAAACGUACAUCACUUUUGCAGGUCUUGAACUUCACAUAAGUGAAAUAAAUGAGAAUGUACACUUUGUUGUCGCACACUUUUAUUCAAAAUAAUGUCUUUGAGGACUAUCCAAGUUUUUGUGUCGAUAUAAGUUCACUCUGUGCUUAUUGGUAAAUGAGACAUUGUACAAAUAUAUCAAAAAGAUUAAUCAAUUCUCCUUUUAGUGGACAUUUUGAGUUGCUUUCAGUGUAAUGUCUUUUGAAUAAAUAUAUUGUGAAUAUUUAUCCCUAUGCCCUUUUUAUAAAUAUGUGUUUCCA
ensembl:lncRNA